rnacentral:rRNA from 1 species
AACGAACGCUGGCGGCAUGCCUAACACAUGCAAGUCGAACGAGACCUUCGGGUCUAGUGGCGCACGGGUGCGUAACGCGUGGGAACCUGCCCUUAGGUUCGGAAUAACUCCCCGAAAGGGGUGCUAAUACCGGAUAAUGUCUUCGGACCAAAGAUUUAUCGCCUUUGGAUGGGCCCGCGUUGGAUCAGCUAGUUGGUAGGGUAAAAGCCUACCAAGGCGACGAUCCAUAGCUGGUCUGAGAGGAUGAUCAGCCACACUGGGACUGAGACACGGCCCAGACUCCUACGGGAGGCAGCAGUGGGGAAUAUUGGACAAGGGGCGAAGGCCUGAGCCAGCAAUGCCGCGUGAGUGAUGAAGGCCUUAGGGUUGUAAAGCUCUUUUACCCGGGAUGAUAAUGACAGUACCGGGAGAAUAAGCUCCGGCUAACUCCGUG